GACGAAGGAUGCAAGCGUUAUCCGGAUUCAUUGGGUUUAAAGGGAGCGUAGGUGGCCUUAUAAGUCAGUGGUGAAAUCUCUGGGCUUAACCCGAAUGAUCCAUUGAUACUGUAGGGCUUGAGUACUAGAUCCGUUGGCGGAAUAUGACAUGUAGUGGUGAAAUACAUAGAGAUGUCAUAGAACACCGAUUGCGAAGGCAGCUAACGAAACUAUAACUGACACUGAGGCUCGAAAGUGUGGGGAUCAAACAGG
rnacentral:rRNA from 1 species